rnacentral:rRNA from 1 species
GCGNCCUAUNCAUGCAGUCGAGCGAACAGACGAGGAGCUUGCUCCUUUGACGUUAGCGGCGGACGGGUGAGUAACACGUAGGUAACCUACCUAUAAGACUGGGAUAACUUCGGGAAACCGGAGCUAAUACCGGAUAAUAUUUCGAACCGCAUGGUUCGAUAGUGAAAGAUGGCUUUGCUAUCACUUAUAGAUGGACCUGCGCCGUAUUAGCUAGUUGGUAAGGUAACGGCUUACCAAGGCAACGAUACGUAGCCGACCUGAGAGGGUGAUCGGCCACACUGGAACUGAGACACGGUCCAGACUCCUACGGGAGGCAGCAGUAGGGAAUCUUCCGCAAUGGGCGAAAGCCUGACGGAGCAACGCCGCGUGAGUGAUGAAGGUCUUCGGAUCGUAAAACUCUGUUAUUAGGGAAGAACAAACGUGUAAGUAACUGUGCACGUCUUGACGGUACCUAAUCAGAAAGCCACGGCUAACUACGUGCCAGCAGCCGCGGUAAUACGUAGGUGGCAAGCGUUAUCCGGAAUUAUUGGGCGUAAAGCGCGCGUAGGCGGUUUUUUAAGUCUGAUGUGAAAGCCCACGGCUCAACCGUGGAGGGUCAUUGGAAACUGGAAAACUUGAGUGCAGAAGAGGAAAGUGGAAUUCCAUGUGUAGCGGUGAAAUGCGCAGAGAUAUGGAGGAACACCAGUGGCGAAGGCGACUUUCUGGUCUGUAACUGACGCUGAUGUGCGAAAGCGUGGGGAUCAAACAGGAUUAGAUACCCUGGUAGUCCACGCCGUAAACGAUGAGUGCUAAGUGUUAGGGGGUUUCCGCCCCUUAGUGCUGCAGCUAACGCAUUAAGCACUCCGCCUGGGGAGUACGACCGCAAGGUUGAAACUCAAAGAAUUGACGGGGNACCCGCACAAGCGGUGGAGCAUGUGGUUUAAUNCGAAGCACCGCGAAGAACCUNACCAAAUCUNGACAUCCUUUGACCNUCUAGAGAUAGANUUUCCCCUUCNGGGGACAAGUGACAGGUGGUGCAGGUUGUCNUCNNCUCNUGUCNUGANAUGUUNGGNUAANUCCCNCAACNAGCGCACCCUUAAGCUNANUNNCCUCAUUAAUUGGGCNCUCUAAUUGACUGCCGGGAAAACCG